GUGAGGAAUAUUGCGCAAUGGAGGCAACUCUGACGCAGCCAUGCCGCGUGCAGGAAGAAGGCGCUACGCGUUGUAAACUGCUUUUAACCGGGAAGAAACCCCAGGACGUGUCCUGGGUUGACGGUACCGGAGGAAUAAGCACCGGCUAACUUCGUGCCAGCAGCCGCGGUAAUACGAAGGGUGCAAGCGUUAUCCGGAUUCAUUGGGUUUAAAGGGUGCGUAGGCGGAGCGUUAAGUCAGUGGUGAAAUCCUGCAGCUUAACUGUAGACUUGCCAUUGAUACUGGCGCUCUUGAGUGCGCUUGAAGUGGGCGGAAUGUGCCGUGUAGCGGUGAAAUGCUUAGAUAUGGCACAGAACACCAAUUGCGAAGGCAGCUCACUAAGGCGAUACUGACGCUGAGGCACGAAAGCGUGGGGAUCGAACAGGAUUAGAAACUCCGGUAGUCC
rnacentral:rRNA from 1 species